rnacentral:lncRNA from 1 species
ACCAGUUUGGCUGCGUAACAGGUCGGCAAAUCUCCUCACUCAGAUAUUCUUCCCGAACCGACAGCCACAAGUGGCGCCCGAACAGGGACGUGAGUGAAGAAGGUCUGCUGGAGCAGAGAAAGUGAAACUGACCAGAAGAAUGAGAAACCCCAGGACAAGUCUGCUGGCAGUGGAUAUAAGGAGAUGGACAAUCCGUGUGGGUGCCCUCAAGGUGUGUGUGACCAUGGAACGGGAGACUGGAGAAAUCCAUGGAUCUCAACUGUGGGCCCAGCUCCUCCAGUACGAGCCAUGAGCUAGUUGAAUCUGAAUGCAAAGACAGAACAAGGACCGACUGGAGUCACACUGACAUCAACCCCCAUAAAAUGGGGACAGCUCAAGAAAACCACACAGGAAGCUGAGAAACUGCUGGAGCAAAACCCCUGACUCCAUGUUUAUGGCCAUGCUAGCUGUAAUAUCCUGUGCGGUAUGUUUUCCCUGUGCAGAGGCAAAAACUUAUUGGGCAUAUAUUCCUAACCCACCAGUAGUACGACCGGUACUCGGGAGCAACACUCCUCCUGAGAUAUAUCAUGAUCAGGGAGCAUGGACACCAGGACCCCUAACUCCCCCUGACAGAGAGUGAUUAGAUUCUCAGAACAAUGGUAUCAAUUAUACUGCACCAUUGGAGGGACUUCUUUAUGUGUCACCCAGGAUGCAUCACUCAACCGCAGUUGCCUUGCAAUUCAGUCCCAAGCAUGCUUGAGUUACCAUGGAAAAAUUAUGUACCUAUUAGGCCUUAGCUCUAUUAAUAUUACUGGUGUAGUUACUAAUCACUCCUGGCCCCAUCACCCAAAUUGUAUUGAUUGUACAGAAUGGGCUCCCUUUGAUAAUUCUCACCCCUGUCCUUGGACUCAGUGUCUUGGCCCCUUAGCUAAACAACAGUCCAUGUUAAUGGGAGACAUUAUCGACUGGGGUCCCCAUGGUCAUUUAGAUGGGAGAAGUGAGAAUCAGACCUCAUGGCAUAAAUUUUGCUGGCACUGGUGGCGAAACUUGAACAUCUCUUCGCUACAUCCCAAUCUGCUACACAACUUGCUUGGCACAGAAUGGGCUUUAGCCCACCUUUGCCUCAAUGGCAUUAUCAAGGAAAGAGAGGUCCAAUUCAGGAGUCAAUAUGGAAGACAGCACUCCCAUUUAUGAAUGGCAGCAUUUGGGUUGGGACACUAUCCAAUAAUAGUAAUAAUGCUCAAUGCAGUUUUAAUGUUACCUUUGUAGAAAAUACUACCACACAGUUUACAAUUUGUAUUUUUAAUCCGUAUGUUUUUCUAGCAGCAAAAAAGGACCAACUCCGGGUAAACAAUGCCCAAUCGAUUUGUGAUGCCUGUCAACUGUAUCAUUGCCUUAAUCAUAGCACAAUACAAACACACAGCAUAUCCACCCUAAUAAUUCUAGGUCACAUUCCUGGAUUAUAGAUUCCUGUAAAUCUGUCCGAGCCUUGGGAGGCCACCCCCGCUUUACAUUUUGUAAAACUCCUUCUUAUUCAGCUUACUCAUCGUGCUCGUAGAGCUUUAGGCAUGAUAAUUUUUGCUAUAAUUUCCCUAGUCACACUAAUAACCUCUGCUGUGUUGUCCUCAGUAGCACUGCACAGCUCCAUUCAAACAGCUCAAUGUGUGAAAAAUUGGAUGUGCACAGCCGACCAGGAAUGGAUGCUUCAAAAUAAAAUUAACACCAAGAUACAAACAGAAGUGGCAAUGUUAAAGACUACUGUUCUGU